rnacentral:lncRNA from 1 species
CUAUACAGUUCAGUUUUAGUUACAAAUGAAAAUCUAGUGAGAUUCUAAAGCAUACAUGAAACUGCCAGAGAAAUCAGCCAUAGUUACAAACGAGAGUCUACUGGAAUUUUAUACUACAUGAAAUACAAUAGACAAGUCAACAGAGAUUCAUUCAUCCUUUACUUCAUGUCCACAAACUUGAAAGUUAUAGGAUAUGUACC